AACGAACGUUGGCGGCGUGGAUUAGGCAUGCAAGUCGAGCGAAUCCCAGCAAUGGGGGAAGCGGCGAAAGGGGCAGUAAGGCAUGGGUAACCUACCCUGGGGACUGGGAUAGCCCUUCGAGAGAAGGGGUAAUACCGGGCGACGUGUCGGGCCGGCAUCGGUCUGCCACCAAAUGAAUUUCGCCCUGGGAGGGGCCCAUGUGAUAUUAGCUAGUUGGUGGGGUAACGGCCCACCAAGGCGAAGAUGUCUAGCGGGUGUGAGAGCACGACCCGCGCCACUGGCACUGAGACACUGGCCAGACACCUACGGGUGGCUGCAGUCGAGGAUCUUCGGCAAUGGGCGCAAGCCUGACCGAGCGACGCCGCGUGUGCGAUGAAGGCCUUCGGGUUGUAAAGCACUGUCGAGAGGGAGAAAAGCGCAAGCUUGAUCUAUCUCUGGAGGAAGCACGGGCUAAGUUCGUGCCAGCCGCCGCUGUAAUAC
rnacentral:rRNA from 1 species